UGCCAUAGACUUCCCAUUCCUUUGUUUAAAUCUUGGUCCAGAAGACCUUGCUGUCUAGAGAGCUUUGGCUACAGCUAUUGACUCCCUAUACCCUUGCUACCCGUGGUGAUCAUGCAGUAAAAGUAUGGAGCAUAUUAGCCUUGUUGGUCCCCUAUGAUUGAGCUUCUGCAGGGCCACAACAAAUCAGUUGUGUAUAUCUGUUUGUUCUAGUCUUUGAAGGCACAAACCCCACACUGUUGUCCUCCUGUUGUUUCCCCAGCGUGUUCAUCGUGUGAGUGAAGGAGUUGUGGUGUUCAGGUCUGAGUAAUCUCCCUUCCGACUCCCCAGUUUGGUCUGCUCCUGAGCGAUGUGUCAUAUUCUCGGCCUGGUGACCAGCCCAGCCGACUAUCCCCCUCAUAAACGCCUCAAAGAACACGACCUCGACGUUGCGGAGCGCCGCCGUGAACCACCCAAUCGUCAACCGGUCACCUUGUGUUUUCUCUGAGCAAGAUUAGAGCUCCGAGCAGAAGGAGUGUAAAUUCAAGACGAAGUGGUUGUGGAAGAGGAGUUUGCUCGAGUGCCUAUUCAGCAAGUGGAUAGAGCUAUCUAACUGGUUAUUGGGUAGAAAGGUCUUGAGCCUCUUCACUGCAACAAAG